GUUUUGUUAGCUCAGUUGGUAGAGCGCUCCACUGGAAAUGCAGAUGUCCCUGGUUCGAUACGAGCACCAGGAUAUGUCA
rnacentral:tRNA from 1 species